UGAACGCUGGCGGCGUGCCUAAUACAUGCAAGUCGAGCGAACAGAUAAGGAGCUUGCUCCUUUGACGUUAGCGGCGGACGGGUGAGUAACACGUGGGUAACCUACCUAUAAGACUGGGAUAACUUCGGGAAACCGGAGCUAAUACCGGAUAACAUUUGGAACCGCAUGGUUCUAAAGUGAAAGAUGGUUUUGCUAUCACUUAUAGAUGGACCCGCGCCGUAUUAGCUAGUUGGUAAGGUAACGGCUUACCAAGGCAACGAUACGUAGCCGACCUGAGAGGGUGAUCGGCCACACUGGAACUGAGACACGGUCCAGACUCCUACGGGAGGCAGCAGUAGGGAAUCUUCCGCAAUGGGCGAAAGCCUGACGGAGCAACGCCGCGUGAGUGAUGAAGGGUUUCGGCUCGUAAAACUCUGUUAUUAGGGAAGAACAAAUGUGUAAGUAACUGUGCACGUCUUGACGGUACCUAAUCAGAAAGCCACGGCUAACUACGUG
rnacentral:rRNA from 1 species